rnacentral:tRNA from 1 species
UGUGGCUCAGUGGUAGAGUACUUGCCUCAUAAGCAUGAGGCCCUGGGCUCGAUCCUUAGCA